GGGAUGGACAUACCUCUGGUGUACCAGUUGUCGUGCCAACGGCAUAGCUGGGUAGCUAUGUGUGGACGGGAUAAGUGCUGAAAGCAUCUAAGCAUGAAGCCCCCCUCAAGAUGAGAUUUCCCAACUUCGGUUAUAAGAUCCCUCAAAGAUGAUGAGGUUAAUAGGUUCGAGGUGGAAGCAUGGUGACAUGUGGAGCUGACGAAUACUAAUCGAUCGAAGACUUAAUCAA
rnacentral:rRNA from 1 species